UACGAAGGGGGCGAGCGUUGUUCGGAAUCACUGGGCGUAAAGGGCGCGUAGGCGGCCCUCUUAGUCGCGUGUGAAAGCCCCGGGCUCAACCUGGGAAUGGCAGUGGAAACUAGGGGACUGGAAUCUGGCAGAGGGGGGUGGAAUGCCGCGUGUAGCAGUGAAAUGCGUAGAGAUGCGGCGGAACACCGAUGGCGAAGGCAGCCCCCUGGGCUGAGAUUGACGCUCAGGCACGAAAGCGUGGGGAGCAAACAGG
rnacentral:rRNA from 1 species